ensembl:lncRNA
CAGAAAGAUGAAUGUUUAUGUAGGAGAUGUUACCGUUUUGGUUCAGGAUCCAGUUUUCUCCUCCUUAUUUUCUUUUCAUUAUGAGGCGUUUUCAAAAGAGGACAGCUAAUUCUGAAAAAUGGUCAAAAUCAAGCCAAACGCAUGAAUGUGAGCAGACGUCUGAGCUAAUGUCUAGGAUCAGGAGCCUUUUCUGUGGGCUAAGAAAAGGAAAUUGCGCCCCCUACCGAACCAAACUCUGCUUUCUGACUCUGUUCUGAGCCAGAGGCUUUUCUCCAUCAACAUGAACAUGUGCCAGCACGCCGCUCCUCAAUCAGAUGACCUUGGCAGCGGGACGCAGCCGACGGUCUCGGAGCGAAAGAGCCAUCCAUCACGCUGCAGACAGACCGCCUGUCACUCCGUUAUCAAGCCUCUGAAAACUCAGACUGAUGUCUCAGGGAGCCAUAUGGAGAGGAGAUCCAGUAUUUACUCGGAGGAGCUGUGAUUCAUGGCUAAGUGAUACUCAACAAAUGGUGUAUGAGGGCCAAAAAAAGAAGAGGAAGAGAGUUCAGCGAAUGACCUUAAAUGACACCACAUCAGUCAGGAUGCUGUGUUUGUGCACAUGCUGUGUCGAUCGGCCGUGUCUCACCCUGCUCGAUCGUUCACAUCUGUGGAGAUGAAAGGCGAGGGAGAGAAACGCUUUCAUAUGCCAAAGGAAGCAUUUCAUUGCAUGCUGUGCAAAAACAACAAGACUACAUGUGUGUGUGCAUCACACUCCAUUAUUUGAGCCACCCAGACAGAAAAAGAGCCAGUCAAAAAGGACAAGGUUGCAUCACCAUCCACAGGCUAAAUAUAUAUAUCAUACGGGUCAUUUCCAGUCAAUGA